CUGCUGCCUUCCGUAGGAGUCUGGGCCGUGUCUCAGUCCCAGUGUGGCCGAUUAACCUCUCAGUUCGGCUAUGCAUCGUUGCCUUGGUAGGCCAUUACCCCACCAACAAGCUAAUGCACCGCAGGCCCAUCUUUAUGCGAAGCUUUAAAGGCUUCUUUACUCCGUAGAGCACAUUCGGUAUUAGCAAUCGUUUCCAACUGUUAUCCCCAACAUAAAGGUAGGUAACCCACGUGUUACUCACCCGUUUGCCACUCGAAGGGAA
rnacentral:rRNA from 1 species